GUGGGGAAUAUUGGACAAUGGGCGAAAGCCUGAUCCAGCCAUGCCGCGUGUGUGAAGAAGGUCUUCGGAUUGUAAAGCACUUUAAGUUGGGAGGAAGGGCGGUAAGUUAAUACCUUGCUGUUUUGACGUUACCAACAGAAUAAGCACCGGCUAACUUCGUGCCAGCAGCCGCGGUAAUACGAAGGGUGCAAGCGUUAAUCGGAAUUACUGGGCGUAAAGCGCGCGUAGGUGGUUCAGCAAGUUGGAGGUGAAAUCCCCGGGCUCAACCUGGGAACUGCCUCCAAAACUGCAUGACUAGAGUACGGUAGAGGGUAGUGGAAUUUCCUGUGUAGCGGUGAAAUGCGUAGAUAUAGGAAGGAACACCAGUGGCGAAGGCGACUACCUGGACUGAUACUGACACUGAGGUGCGAAAGCGUGGGGAGCAAACAGGAUUAGAAACCCCGGUAGUCC
rnacentral:rRNA from 1 species